rnacentral:rRNA from 1 species
AUCUACCCUGGCAUCUGGAAUAACCCACCGAAAGGUGUGCUAAUACCGGAUACGCUGAUUUAUCAGGAAAGGUGGCCUCUUCAUGAAAGCUACUGUGCCGGGAGGAGCUUGCGUACCAUUAGCUAGUUGGUGGGGUAAUGGCCUACCAAGGCAACGAUGGUUAGCGGGUCUGAGAGGAUGAUCCGCCACACUGGAACUGGAACACGGACCAGACUCCUACGGGAGGCAGCAGUGAGGAAUAUUGCGCAAUGGGGGCAACCCUGACGCAGCGACGCCGCGUGGAUGAUGAAGGCCUUCGGGUCGUAAAAUCCUGUCAGAUGGAAAGAAAUGCCAGAUGUCUAAUAUAUGUCUGGUUUGACGGUACCAUCAAAGGAAGCACCGGCUAACUCCGUGCCAGCAGCCGCGGUAAUACGGAGGGUGCAAGCGUUGUUCGGAAUUACUGGGCGUAAAGCGCGCGUAGGCGGCUAUUUAAGUCAGAUGUGAAAGUCCACGGCUCAACCGUGGAAGUGCAUUUGAUACUGGGUAGCUUGAGUACUGGAGGGGAUGGUGGAAUUCCCGGUGUAGAGGUGAAAUUCGUAGAUAUCGGGAGGAAUACCGGUGGCGAAGGCGACCAUCUGGCCAGAUACUGACGCUGAGGUGCGAAAGCGU